rnacentral:rRNA from 1 species
UUCCGGUUGAUCCUGCCGGACCUUACUGCUAUCGGGAUGAGACUAAGCCAUGCAUGUCGAGCGCUCUUCAGCUAUGUAGAGAGCGCGGCGGAACGGCUCAAUAACACGUAGUUAACCUACCUCGGGAUGGGAAUAACCCCGGGAAACUGGGAUUAAUACCCACUAGAUGAUUAUACCUGGAAUGGCUUAUCAUCGAAAGAGUCUGGAAACAUGCUUCCAGCGUCGCCCGAGGAUGGGACCGCGUCCGAUCAGGUAGUUGGUGGGGUAAUGGCCUACCAAGCCUAUAACCGGUACGGGCCCUGAGAGGGGGAGCCCGGAGAUGGAAACUGAGAAAAGGUUCCAGGCCCUACGGGGUGCAGCAGGCGCGAAACCUCCACAAUGCGCGAAAGCGUGAUGGGGUUAUCCCGAGUGCCGUCCGAUGAGGAUGGCUUUUUAUCGAUGUAAGGAUUCGAUAGAAUAAAGGGGGGGCAAGACUGGUGUCAGCCGCCGCGGUAAUACCAGCCCCCUGAGUGGUAAGGACGAUUAUUUGGCCUAAAGCGUUCGUAGCCGGCUUAUCAAGUCUUUUGUUAAAUCCAACGAUUUAAUCGUUGGGCCGCAAAAGAUACUGUUAUGCUAGAGGACGGGAGAGGUCGACGGUAGUCCAGGGGUAGGGGUGAAAUCCUAUAAUCCUUGGAGGACCACCAGUGGCGAAGGCGGUCGACUAGAACGUGCCUGACGGUGAGGGACGAAAGCUGGGGGAGCGAACCGGAUUAGAUACCCGGGUAGUCCCAGCUGUAAACGAUGCGGGCUAGGUGUUGGGGCAGCCACGAGCUGCUCCAGUGCCGCAGAGAAGUUGUUAAGCCCGCCGCCUGGGGAGUACGGCCGCAAGGCUGAAACUUAAAGGAAUUGGCGGGGGAGCACCACAAGGGGUGAAGGCUGCGGUUUAAUUGGAGUCAACGCCGGA